rnacentral:rRNA from 1 species
UACGUAGGGCGCAAGCGUUGUCCGGAAUUAUUGGGCGUAAAGAGCUCGUAGGCGGUCUGUUACGUCUGCUGUGAAAACCCGGGGCUUAACCCUUGGCUUGCAGUGGAUACGGGCAGACUAGAGGCAGGUAGGGGAGAAUGGAAUUCCCGGUGUAGCGGUGAAAUGCGCAGAUAUCGGGAGGAACACCGGUGGCGAAGGCGGUUCUCUGGGCCUGUUCUGACGCUGAGGAGCGAAAGCGUGGGGAGCGAACAGG